UGCAGCAUCUGUCAGGAGAAACAGGCUGGAUUCAGUUGCAGGUUUACACUGAGCUUUAUCUAAAGCAGAUGAAACAAGGCAGAUGAGUAUCGUUCCACAGUUUAACUCAUUCGGCAGCCGAGACCCAGAGAAAUGAGAGCUGGAAUCUUCUAGGAAUACUGCAUUCGUGAGAACAAGAGGCAGAGCAAGACAGCAAAAGACACUGGAGCCUGAGGACAAGACAAGACAAGACAAGACAAGGCCAAGAAAUUGUGGUUGCAGGACACACUGCUUCCUCAUGCACCUCCUGCCAACCCUCUGAAGGAUCCUGGGGAACAGCACUGGGACAAUGUGCCUGAGGUCAGAGGUCAAAGGUCAAGGGUUAGGAGUUGCACCCCUGAGUCCGGCUCUGGAUUUUCGGGGGUCGGGACGUUGGGUAAGAGCGAGGCCUGCGCAGCUUCCUGUCUGAGAUCACAGACACACACGGUCAUUUCCUGUUUGGUGACGCCAGCGAUGUUCACUUCCUCUGAAGAUCAGCAGCACUUCAGAUUACAGCAGCU